GGGCCCGUGGUCUAGACUGGAUUAGGACGCUGGCCUGCGGAGCCGGAGGUCCUGGGUUCAAAUCCCAGCGGGCCCGCCA
rnacentral:tRNA from 1 species